rnacentral:rRNA from 1 species
UACAGAGGUCUCAAGCGUUGUCCGGAUUUAUUGGGCGUAAAGAGCGUGUAGGCGGCCAGGUAGGUCUGCUGUGAAAACUCGAGGCUUAACCUCGAGCUGUCGGCGGAAACCAUCUGGCUAGAGUCCGGAAGAGGAGAAUGGAAUUCCCGGUGUAGCGGUGAAAUGCGCAGAUAUCGGGAGGAACACCUAUGGCGAAGGCAGCUCGCUGGGACGUUACUGACGCUGAGACGCGAAAGCGUGGGGAGCAAACAGG